UGGGGAAUAUUGCACAAUGGAGGGAACUCUGAUGCAGCGACGCCGCGUGAGGGAAGAAGGUUUUCGGAUUGUAAACCUCUGUCUUCGGGGACGAUAAUGACGGUACCCGAGGAGGAAGCCACGGCUAACUACGUGCC
rnacentral:rRNA from 1 species